rnacentral:misc_RNA from 1 species
AAGUCGUAACAAGGUUUCCGUAGGUGAACCUGCGGAAGGAUCAUUAUUGAAUAUGAUUGAUGGGUUGUAGCUGGCUCUUCGGGGCAUGUGCACGCCUGUCUUGACUUUAUUCAUCCACCUGUGCACCUUUUGUAGUCUUGGGGGUUGAGAGCAGUCAAUAAUCGGAUGACCAUUUGGUCACUCCGGGUGUGAGGAAUGCUGAGUGCGAAAGCAUACAGCUCUUCUCAAAGUGACUUGUAAUCCUCUCCUUCAAGUACUAUGUAUUCAUAUACCCAUAGUAUGUUGUAGAAUGUGAUCAAUGGGCCUAAGUGCCUAUAACAAUCAUAUACAACUUUCAGCAACGGAUCUCUUGGCUCUC